UUUAGAGAUAGAGGGGUGCUCGAAAGAGAGCCGUAACACAGGUGCUGCAUGGCUGUCGUCAGCUCGUGUCGUGAGAUGUUGGGGUUUAAAGUCCCCGCAACCGAGCGCAACCCUUGUCAUUAGUUGCUACAUUCAGUUGGGCACUCUAAUGAGACUGCCGGUGACAAGCCGGAGGAAGUGGGGGAUGACGUCAAGUCCUCAUGGCCCUUAUAGGUGGGGCUACACACGCCAUACAAUGGCUGGUACAAAGGGUUGCCAACCCGCGAGGGGGAGCCAAUCCCAUAAAGCCAGUCGUAGUCCGGAUCGUAGUCUGCAACUCGACUACGUGAAGUCGGAAUCGCUAGUAAUCGUGGAUCAGAAUGUCACGGUGAAUACCGGUUCCCGGGUUCUU
rnacentral:rRNA from 1 species